GAUGAACGCUGGCGGCGUGCUUAACACAUGCAAGUCGAACGGACCUGAGGUUUCGGAGAUUCGUCGAAGAGGCCGACUGGUUAGUGGCGGACGGGUGAGUAACGCGUGGGCAACCUGCCCCAUAGAGGGGGAUAACGGCUGGAAACGGCCGCUAAUACCGCAUAAGCGCACGAAGCCGCAUGGCUACGUGUGAAAAGUAAUAAUGCUAUGGGAUGGGCCCGCGUCAGAUUAGUUAGUUGGCGGUGUAACGGACCACCAAGACGACGAUCUGUAGGCGGACUGAGAGGUUGGACGGCCACAUUGGGACUGAGACACGGCCCAAACUCCGACGGGAAGCAGCAGUGGGGAAUAUUGCACAAUGGGGGAAACCCUGAUGCAGCGACGCCGCGUGGGUGAAGAAGUUUUUCGGAAUGUAAAGCCCUAUCAGCAGGGAAGAAAAUGACGGUACCUGACUAAGAAGCCCCGGCUAACUACGUGCCAGCCGCCGCAGUAAUAC
rnacentral:rRNA from 1 species